rnacentral:rRNA from 1 species
GACAGAGGUCCCGAGCGUUAGGCGGAAUCACUGGGCUUAAAGCGUGUGUAGGCGGAGUUCUAAGUACCUUGUGAAAUCCCCAGGCUCAACUUGGGAACUGCAUCCGAUACUGGAUGGCUUGAAUUCGGGAGAGGGAUGCAGAAUUCCAGGUGUAGCGGUGAAAUGCGUAGAUAUCUGGAGGAAUACCGGUGGCGAAGGCGGCAUCCUGGACCGACAUUGACGCUGAGGAGCGAAAGCUAGGGGAGCAAACGGG